GACGGGCACCCGCACAAGCGGUGGAGCAUGCUGUUUAAUUCGAUGAUACGCGAAGAACCUUACCUAGACUUGACAUCCCGAGCAAAACUAUAGAAAUAUAGCAGAGGUUAUCUCGGUGACAGGUGGUGCAUGGUUGUCGUCAGCUCGUGUCGUGAGAUGUUCGGUUAAGUCCGAUAACGAGCGCAACCCUCGUCUUUAGUUACUAACAGUUCGGCUGAGGACUCUAAAGAUACUGCCGGUAAUAAACCGGAGGAAGGUGGGGAUGACGUCAAAUCAUCAUGCCCCUUACGUCUAGGGCUACAGGCGUGCUACAAUGGCUGGUACAAAGAGUCGCAAUACCGUGAGGUGGAGCUAAUCUCCAAAGCCAGUCUCAGUUCGGAUUGAAGUCUGCAACUCGACUUCAUGAAGCUGGAAUCGCUAGUAAUCCUGAAUCAGAAUGUCAGGGUGAAUACGUUCCCGGGUGUUGUACACACCGCCCGUCACGCCAUGGGAGUUGGUAAUACCCGAAGUCGGUAGCCUAACCUUUUAGGAGGGGGCCGGCGAAGGUAGGAUCAGCGACUGGGGGAAGUCGUAACAAGGUAGCCCUACGAAAAC
rnacentral:rRNA from 1 species